rnacentral:lncRNA from 1 species
AAGAGUGUUUAUUCAUAAAGCAGAGCAAGAUAAAUAGUUUGAUCGAUGCUAAUAGGUAACAGAUAGAUGACAAUCUUACAAGGUGGAUGACUCGUCAUAGACACAUCCAGAUUUCCAAAUCAAGGUUUAACAGUCUUCAAAAGGUGGAUGAUCUCCAAAAGAGAGGCAGAGUUCCUCGGAUCAUCAGAACACAGCCAUACCAAGUCUUAGAGAGAAGCUGAAUACGAUACAUGGAUCAUAUGUAUAGACGAGCUGAGGUCAACAAUACUGAUGUACAGUGAGACUACAUCAGUGGUUCACUGAGCUGCUCCUAUUGGCAUUUAAUCAACCAACUGGUCUACCAUCAAGAUAGACCUCACCACCAUGAAGUACAAGCCCGCUUAAGAGGAGGUUCCUGACACAGAGCCACGACCUCAAGCACCUCACCACCAAGCCAAAACCCAGACAUCAGCACAAUCAUGUUUGACGUUGGAUUGCCUGUAACAAUGAGAAGAACGUUAUGAUUCUCCAACGCAAAAGUUUCCAAGAAUAGGAAAAUAAAUUUUACAUCGUCUCAGAUUCAGAUGACCUCCCUAAAUCAGAAGAACAGAUUAAUUAGAUGUACCUAACACACACAUGUACAUGAAGAUAGGAUUGAUAGAUUUUAUGUCAGUACCUAAUCUCUAACCAUCUUCGAGACCUCUUUUGGAACACUGUCCCCCAUGGUGUGCAACCACCACCAUUCAGCAAUUCAUCAAAUGUCAGCUGCCUUUUAAAUGCCACUCUUUGGCAAUCCCUGCAAACAACAUUGCAGAGACCACAAGAAUCUUUGGAAAACUCUGAUACAAUAUGUAUUUGUUGUUUAGUUACUUUGCAAAUUUAGAGCCUAAUGACAGUAGUUUUUUCUUUAGAAAAUAAUAACAACGACGAGAGCGGUAAGGUCAUACAUGUGCGCGCGAAGACUUGUCUUCGUAGCCUGAUUUGGUAAUGCGAGUAUAACACUUGCAUGAGUUCCAAGGAUUGGUGCAUGGUAUUGGAGUUAGAUGGCUGAUCUAGAAUCAUUUACAUGAUUUGUGAAAUCUUCCUAAUAAUUUGUUAUGUGCAAAAUUCAAUGAAGUUUUUUAGACAGGUUGAUGACUCUUGCAAACUUAAUUAUCUAAAGUUUCAAACAAUUAAUUCUUUGUAUGUCCUGAACAUACAAAAAGAAAUAGCCAUUGGCAGUCAAAGGAGCAUAGACAAGUGUAAUCAGAGGGAUUAAAUUGUUACCUGAUCAUAGAGUGUUCUUUAUUCUUCAUCAUUCAAAGUCUACAGAGAAGAGGCGAAAUUGUAUGUAUCAGUACUAUUCAUAGCUAUACAUCCACAAAUUGGUAACACACUAAGAGUACAAUUCACCGAGCUAAAUUUAG